rnacentral:misc_RNA from 1 species
UUUCCGUAGGUGAACCUGCGGAAGGAUCAUUAUUGUAUAACCGAGGUGCGAGGGCUGUCGCUGACCCGAAAGGUCGUGCACGCCCGAGUGCCCUCAAACACAUCCAUCUCACCCCUAUGUGCACCACCGCGUGGGUCCCCCUUUGGCUUGUUCGGAGGGGGGCUUACGUUUUCACACAAACUUUGUAUGCAGUGUAGAUUGUAUUUUUUGUUUUUGCGAUCACGCAAUCAAUACAACUUUCAACAACGGAUCUCUUGGCUCUC